AACGCUAGCUACAGGCUUAACACAUGCAAGUCGAGGGGAAACGAUAUUGGAAGCUUGCUUCCGAUAGGCGUCGACCGGCGCACGGGUGAGUAACGCGUAUCCAACCUGCCCAUCACUUGGGGAUAACCUUGCGAAAGUAAGACUAAUACCCAAUGACGUCUCUAGAAGACAUCUGAAAGGGAUUAAAGAUUUAUCGGUGAUGGAUGGGGAUGCGUCUGAUUAGCUUGUUGGCGGGGUAACGGCCCACCAAGGCGACGAUCAGUAGGGGUUCUGAGAGGAAGGUCCCCCACAUUGGAACUGAGACACGGUCCAAACUCCUACGGGAGGCAGCAGUGAGGAAUAUUGGUCAAUGGACGAGAGUCUGAACCAGCCAAGUAGCGUGCAGGAAGACGGCCCUAUGGGUUGUAAACUGCUUUUAUGCGGGGAUAAAUUGACUCACGUGUGGGUCAUUGCAGGUACCGCAUGAAUAAGGACCGGCUAAUUCCGUGCCAGCAGCCGCGGUAAUACGGAAGGUCCGGGCGUUAUCCGGAUUUAUUGGGUUUAAAGGGAGCGUAGGCCGGAGAUUAAGCGUGUUGUGAAAUGUAGACGCUCAACGUCUGCACUGCAGCGCGAACUGGUUUCCUUGAGUACGCACAAAGUGGGCGGAAUUCGUGGUGUAGCGGUGAAAUGCUUAGAUAUCACGAAGAACUCCGAUUG
rnacentral:rRNA from 1 species